rnacentral:misc_RNA from 1 species
GCUAUAUAUUGGAAAGGUAUACUAACGAGAGAUUUUUGACACUAGGAUACGGCUGAUCUUAGUCGCUUUGCUGCACGUUCUAGGUUGAUUGCAUGCCGAUGUAAUCCAUGCCAUGCCUCGGAGGAACCCUUACUCCAUGAACCUAACUUAGCAAUCUGCUCAUGCAGAGAGCCCAAGUUGACAAGAGGUACAGUAGUUGGCCGCCCAUGAGCACAUUGAAAACACAAUGAAGUCUGCU